AGUGAACGCUGGCGGUAGGCCUAACACAUGCAAGUCGAACGGCAGCACAGUAAGAGCUUGCUCUUACGGGUGGCGAGUGGCGGACGGGUGAGGAAUACAUCGGAAUCUACUUUUUCGUGGGGGAUAACGUAGGGAAACUUACGCUAAUACCGCAUACGACCUACGGGUGAAAGCAGGGGAUCUUCGGACCUUGCGCGAUUGAAUGAGCCGAUGUCGGAUUAGCUAGUUGGCGGGGUAAAGGCCCACCAAGGCGACGAUCCGUAGCUGGUCUGAGGGGAUGGUCCGCCACACUGGAACUGAGACACAGUCCAGACUCCUACGGGAGGCAGCAGUGGGGAAUAUUGGACAAUGGGCGCAAGCCUGAUCCAGCCAUACCGCGUGGGUGAAGAAGGCCUUCGGGUUGUAAAGCCCUUUUGUUGGGAAAGAAAAGCAGCAGGUUAAUACCCCGCUGUUCUGACGGUACCCAAAGAAUAAGCACCGGCUAACUUCGUG
rnacentral:rRNA from 1 species